AGAGUUUGAUCAUGGCUCAGAUUGAACGCUGGCGGCAUGCCUUACACAUGCAAGUCGAACGGUAACAGGGAGCUUGCUCCGCUGACGAGUGGCGAACGGGUGAGUAAUAUAUCGGAACGUACCUUUGAGUGGGGGAUAACUAGUCGAAAGAUUAGCUAAUACCGCAUACGAUCUACGGAUGAAAGUGGGGGAUCGCAAGACCUCAUGCUCAUAGAGCGGCCGAUAUCUGAUUAGCUAGUUGGUGAGGUAAAGGCUCACCAAGGCUUCGAUCAGUAGCUGGUCUGAGAGGACGACCAGCCACACUGGGACUGAGACACGGCCCAGACUCCUACGGGAGGCAGCAGUGGGGAAUUUUGGACAAUGGGGGCAACCCUGAUCCAGCAAUGCCGCGUGAGUGAAGAAGGCCUUCGGGUUGUAAAGCUCUUUUGUCAGGGAAGAAACGGGGGUUCCUAAUACGAGCCCCUAAUGACGGUACCUGAAGAAUAAGCACCGGCUAACUACGUGCCAGCAGCCGCGGUAAUACGUAGGGUGCAAGCGUUAAUCGGAAUUACUGGGCGUAAAGCGUGCGCAGGCGGUUAUGUAAGACAGGUGUGAAAUCCCCGGGGCUUAACCUGGGAAUGGCAUUUGUGACUGCAUAGCUAGAGUGUGUCAGAGGGGGGUAGAAUUCCACGUGUAGCAGUGAAAUGCGUAGAGAUGUGGAGGAAUACCGAUGGCGAAGGCAGCCCCCUGGGAUAACACUGACGCUCAUGCACGAAAGCGUGGGGAGCAAACAGGAUUAGAUACCCUAGUAGUCC
rnacentral:rRNA from 1 species